GUCGUCACACCAGCGGUAUGAAGAGAUGUUGACACAGUAGGUGUCCCUGGCUCUCCCCCUGUAGAUAGGUAGCAUGUACCUACAGUGCACACCCCACGUGACACACAGACUCCACCGCAAACAUACUAGCCAGGUCCUCUAUACACAGCUCACGACCACUGGCCCCUGAUCACAAGCACCCAGCACGUACUUCAAUCAUUCAAAGGGGCACAAUAGAAAGUGACAGCUCUGUAAAUCGGUCGAGUCAGAUAGUGGGGAAGGAUCUACAGAAUCAACUUCAUCUACAUUAACUUGUGGAGGGACUUUCGACUCACAUCACAAAGAGAGUCUGUGCAGAGUGUUCGGACACUGAUGUAAACAAUCCCUCCCUGUGAGGUGUUGCCAACACCAACGUUAUCAACCCAAAUAGCCAGGGUGGGACAUUCGACAUUGACUGGACAUUGUAGGAUGUCUGAAGGCCAGGGUUGAUUCCCAACAGUCUUAAGAACAGCUGGCUCCAUGUCAAUCAUGACCCCGGCCCUCCUGGCUGAUUACGGAGUGGGCGUGUCCACCUCACCAUGUGCUCCUCACUUCCUGGUUGUGGCUGCAUCUGGAAGGAGCAUCCCACCUAUCUCCCUCUUCACACUGCAGGUGACCACAUAGUGCUCCUGCCUUGGUUCAAGCAAAUCUUCCCGACUCCGUGCACCCAGUAGCUGAGGCUUAUUGCGAGUUAUACGCUGGUCACACCCUCGCUUGUACACAGCCAGGAGAACAGCUGGAGAACUGGGCAGCAGUGGAAAGUUAAGGACAUCCAGUUGCAGCCAUCAUGAAGAUGAGGAAAGGUGCACAGACUACUGACGGCCACACUCAAGAACACGGUUCAAAUGAUGGCAGUCAUCCCAACACUUUCGACUCACCAUGACAGUCACCAUGACAGUCAACUCAACACUCCUGUGUCACCAUGACAGUCAACUCAACACGCCUGUGUCACCAUGACAGUCAACUCAACACUCCUGUGUCACCAUGAUAGUCAACUCAACACACCUGUGUCACCAUGACAGUCAACUCAACACUCCUGUUUCACCAUGACAGUCAACUCAACACUACUGUUUCACCAUGACAGUCAACUCAACACGCCUGUGUCACCAUGACAGUCAACUCAACACACCUGUGUCACCAUGACAGUCAACUCAACACUCCUGUGUGAUGACAGUCAACCAAAGACAGAUUCCAAGAACAGUUAACCUACGCUUAGAUGAUGGCAGGGAACUUUACCGUUGAAACCCUCUCAUCCCACAACCAUGUCAUUGAUAAGAAGUAAAGAGUUGUCUCCCUUACCUGGCUCAGCAGCUCCUUGCUCUUGAGGAUCAAACUUGACAAACAGAGACUCGCGGGCCAGAUCCGACUCUUUACACUGGAGGGGAAGAGAAGCCAAGUAAAUAACCCUUACCACAAUAUGCUUAUACUUAUACUCAGACUUGAGUCAGCCCUGGCCGCGACAAGUGGAUGUCAAUGUGCCAAGGCGGUUAGAUGUAUACAAGUUAUCAUACAUGUGCCACACAAGAAGAGAGAGUCAACAUGGUCAAUGUAAAGUGAAAGCAGUCCACGUUGACAUCAGGCCAGAGGAAACGACUGCAUCUGAGAUGGGGGACCAGCUUCCAGGUCAUCAGAGCUGACAGGUGUCUGAGAACAGGAUGCAGGAACAGAUUCUACAGGAUUUGCAAGAGACUGAGAUUGGGCAUCUGUAUCAGAUUGCUCAACACUGGCUCUUGGCUGCGGUGGUUCUUCGGGAUUGACUGAAUCUUCUGGUACUUCUCUUGCAUCAACCACUUCCUCAUGUGGCAACAUCACAUCUCCAGCAGGUGGAUCUGAGCCUACAUCUGCAGCUCCUUCAACAGCCUCUUGCUCCAAUUCAGGAACAUCUUGACCUGAUGUGUUUGGAGCACAAACUGAUUCACCCCCAGCAGGUAAAUCAUCCUCGCCAGGGCUUCCAAGCCCUUCCUCGGUGUGAGCUAGCAGAUUCAGUGGGUCAUCACAGGCACUCACAAACUCUCCCGAAGUGCUGAGGGGAUCAAUGGAUACACUUUUUGGAAUCACAUCCAACAUCUCGGAACUAUCUUCCUGUUCCACACUGCCUUCUUCAGCAUCACACCACUCAUCCUCCAGGGAACCGUUGGACACAUUAGCAUCAAGGCUAGCUUUCUCCACGUUCAGUAGCAUGUCAUCUGAUAUCUUCACAUCAUUAUUGUUCUCAAAUGCAGGAGAUCGUGGAGGUUCAGUACCCAGCUCGUGAGACAGAAGCAGUGCCUGGAUAGUAAAUCUGGACAAGCAUGUUGAAUUGUGUGAUGAGUUGAUUAGAAAACAACAUGGAAUGUCUGCUAGCCUCAAUAACAUAUGAAGUGACAUAGAAGGGCAAGUUAAAUUGUCAGGAUGUUUUACUGGUUCUCAAGAAACUACUACAUUCAACCUGGUGUCGUGGGAUUGUGCUAUUUUCCAUCCUUGCUCAGUGACAUGAAACCUUCACUCACUGCACAUUAUCAUUCAAUGAUCCAGAGAUUUGUGUGAUGAAGACAAAAACCCUGAAACGCACGAUCACUAUAAAACAUAUUUCAUUUUGACAGCUGUUGUUUUAAUGAUGCUCAUUCAUGCUCCGCAGAAACUAAAAGAUCAAAUAUAUCUAUCAUGACGUUGAUGACACGAUUCAAGAACUGACCACCUCGCCAACAGCAGGUGAGGACUGCAUUCAGUAUUUCUCAUUGAAGCUCAUUGAUUCGAGCCCUGGAAUACAUUUACGAAUGGAGAAGAAUAAAAGGAUCACGUACUAUA